rnacentral:rRNA from 1 species
AAAGCGACUCUCGGCAACGGAUAUCUCGGCUCUCGCAUCGAUGAAGAACGUAGCGAAAUGCGAUACUUGGUGUGAAUUGCAGAAUCCCGUGAACCAUCGAGUCUUUGAACGCAAGUUGCGCCCGAAGCCUUUAGGCCGAGGGCACGCCUGCCUGGGCGUCACA